rnacentral:rRNA from 1 species
UACGUAGGGUGCGAGCGUUGUCCGGAAUUAUUGGGCGUAAAGAGCUCGUAGGCGGUUCGUCGCGUCGGCUGUGAAAACUCACAGCUCAACUGUGGGCGUGCGGGCGAUACGGGCAGACUAGAGUACUGCAGGGGGAGACUGGAAUUCCUGGGUGUAGCGGUGGAAUGCGCAGAUAUCAGGAGGAACACCGGUGGCGAAGGCGGGUCUCUGGGCAGUAACUGACGCUGGAGGAGCGAAAGCGUGGGGAGCGAACAGG